rnacentral:rRNA from 1 species
AUACGGGGGGUGCAAGCGUUGUCCGGAAUCAUUGGGCGUAAAGCGUUCGUAGGCGGCAAGAUAAGUCGGAUGUUAAAGCCCGGGGCUCAACUCCGGUUCGGCAUUUGAUACUAUCUAGCUAGAAUGCGGUAGAGGUAAAGGGAAUUCCUGGUGUAGCGGUGAAAUGCGUAGAUAUCAGGAGGAACAUCGGUGGCGAAAGCGCUUUACUGGGCCGUUAUUGACGCUGAGGAACGAAAGCUAGGGUAGC